UACAGAGGUCCCAAGCGUUGUUCGGAUUCAUUGGGCGUAAAGGGUGCGUAGGUGGCGCCGUAAGUCGGGUGUGAAAUUUCGGAGCUUAACUCCGAAACUGCAUUCGAUACUGCGGUGCUUGAGGACUGGAGAGGAGACUGGAAUUCUUGGUGUAGCAGUGAAAUGCGUAGAUAUCAAGAGGAACACCAGUGGCGAAGGCGAGUCCCUAGACAACUCCUGACACUGAGGCACGAAAGCUAGGGGAGCAAACAGG
rnacentral:rRNA from 1 species